GACGAACGCUGGCGGCGUGCUUAACACAUGCAAGUCGAACGGUGAAGCGCCUUCCUUUUUGGUGGGUGUGGAUGAGUGGCGAACGGGUGAGUAACACGUGAGUAACCUGCCCCCUUCUUCUGGAUAACCGCAUGAAAGUGUGGCUAAUACGGGAUAUUCUGGGUCUGUCGCAUGAUGGGUCUGGGAAAGAUAUUGUUUCGGUGGGGGAUGGGCUCGCGGCCUAUCAGCUUGUUGGUGGGGUGAUGGCCUACCAAGGCGGUGACGGGUAGCCGGCCUGAGAGGGUGGACGGUCACACUGGGACUGAGACACGGCCCAGACUCCUACGGGAGGCAGCAGUGGGGAAUAUUGCACAAUGGGAGCAAGCCUGAUGCAGCGACGCCGCGUGAGGGAUGGAGGCCUUCGGGUUGUGAACCUCUUUCGCCAGUGAAGCAGGCCUGCCUCGUUUGUGGGUGGGUUGACGGUAGCUGGAUAAGAAGCGCCGGCUAACUACGUG
rnacentral:rRNA from 1 species